UUUUUGAGUGAUGUCACAGUUGUCCCCGGUCUCCCCUACAGCAGCCUUGGUGAUGGAGCGCGUAACUGUGUUCCUCUGCGGUCGCGCGCAUCCUCGGCCGAGAGAGUGGUCCUGAUGCUGCGAACUCGUGCUCGCGCAUUACAUCACUUCUCUCCUGCUUGAUUGGUUGUAGGUCAACUCGUCGUGCAGCAUCCGUUUCAAAUCAUCAUCACCACCUUCACCACCAUCAUCAUCAUCAGCAUCAUCAUCCUGCACGUUUGAUUGAGCUCUUCGUGGGUGUGUGUGUGUGUCUUGUCUCUUUGCACUGGCGGCUCGUGUUUGUUUUGGAGGAUGGCCGAGAGCGAGGCAGACACGCCGAGCACGCCCAUCGAGUUCGAGAGCAAAUACUUCGAGUUUGAUGGAGUCCGACUGCCGCCCUUCUGCAGAGGGAAGAUGGAGGAGAUCAGCAACUUCUCCCUCAGAAGCAGCGACAUCUGGAUCGUCACCUACCCAAAGUCAGGCACCAGUCUACUUCAGGAGAUCGUGUAUCUGGUGAGUCAGGGAGCCGACCCUGAUGAGAUCGGCCUUAUGAACAUCGAUGAACAGCUGCCGGUCUUAGAGUACCCCCAACCCGGCCUGGAUAUCAUACAGGAGCUGACCUCCCCUCGUCUGAUCAAAAGCCAUCUUCCCUAUCGAUUCCUCCCCACAGCCAUGCACAACGGAGAGGCCAAGGUGAUCUACAUGGCUCGUAACCCUAAGGACCUGGUGGUGUCCUACUACCAGUUCCACCGCUCUCUCAGGACCAUGAGCUACCGGGGAACCUUCCAGGAGUUCUGCCGGCGCUUCAUGAAUGACAAGCUGGGAUAUGGUUCCUGGUUUGAACACGUUCAGGAGUUUUGGGAACAUCGUAUGGACUCGAAUGUCCUCUUCUUGAAAUAUGAAGACAUGUACAAGGAUCCAGCGAUGUUGGUGGAACAGUUAGCCCGGUUCCUGGGGGUUUCCUGUGACAAGGCCCAGCUGGAGGGCAUGGUGGAGAGCUGCAACCAGCUCAUCGAGCAGUGCUCCAACUCAGAGGCGCUGUCCAUCUGCAGGGUGCAUGGAAGUCUGCUGUCUGCUGUGUUAUAGGCUUAACACACAGCUCUCAGUGUGAUCUGUCUCUCACACACGCCUCAGCAGGUCGUGCGGGUCUGUGGAAGGACGUCUUCACGGUGUCCAUGAAUGAAAAGUUUGACGCGGUGUACAGACAGAAGAUGGGCAAGUCCGACCUGACCUUUGACUUCUGCCUGUGAGGAGCACCUGACCCUCCUCUCUACUCUACCACCCACACUGAUCUACUCCAGUACAGUCCACACACUCCUACGUCUCCAUUCAUUCUCGGAUUACACUGCAAGACUUUUCCCAGAAUGCACUCUGUCUCAAGUCUCAAGUCAACAAAACAUCCCGCCCCCUCGUGGACUGAUCAAAUCCAGAUUUAUUAGGAAUCAAUAGUGAACCAAACCUCCCUGAACCCCCCUACCUCCACAGUGUGUUUCCACUGCUGUGUGUGUAUAUGUGUAUAUAUACUAACCAGGGUUCGACCGAUAUGGGUUUUUAAAGGCCGAUAAUAACAACACUGAGCUGAAGUACUGGUCAAUAGUUAUAUUCUAAAUCUCUCUACAAUAAGACAUAACAGGGAUUCAAGCUACGUGCAGAUAUUUGUGGCUGAAAUGCACGAA